GUGUCAGCCGCCGCGGGAAUACGAAUGGGGCAAGCGUUGUUCGGAUUUACUGGGCGUAAAGCGGGCGUAGGCGGCCGGCUAAGUCGGAUGUGAAAUCCCGGGGCUCAACUCGGGAACUGCAUUCGAUACUGGUCGGCUAGAGUUCGAGAGGGGGAUGCGGAAUUCCGCGUGUAGCAGUGAAAUGCGUAGAUAUGCGGAGGAACACCUGAGGCGAAGGCGGCAUCCUGGAUCGACACUGACGCUGAGGCCCGAAAGCGUGGGGAGCAAACAGGAUUAGAGACCCUGGUAGUCCACGCCCUAAACGAUGUCUACUAGCCGUUGCGGGUAUCGCCCCCUGCAUUGGCGCAGCUAACGCGAUAAGUAGACCGCCGGGGGAGUACGGCCGCAAGGUUAAAACUCAAAUGAAUUGACGGGG
rnacentral:rRNA from 1 species